rnacentral:rRNA from 1 species
UGGGGAAUAUUGCACAAUGGGCGCAAGCCUGAUGCAGCCAUGCCGCGUGUAUGAAGAAGGCCUUCGGGUUGUAAAGUACUUUCAGUCGGGAGGAAGGUGUCAAGGUUAAUAACCUUGGCAAUUGACGUUACCGACAGAAGAAGCACCGGCUAACUCCGUGCCAGCAGCCGCGGUAAUACGGAGGGUGCAAGCGUCAAUCGGAAUUACUGGGCGUAAAGCGCACGCAGGCGGUUUGUUAAGUCAGAUGUGAAAUCCUCGGGCUCAACCUGGGAACUGCAUCUGAUACUGGCAAGCUUGAGUCUCGUAGAGGGGGGUAGAAUUCCAGGUGUAGCGGUGAAAUGCGUAGAGAUCUGGAGGAAUACCGGUGGCGAAGGCGGCCCCCUGGACGAAGACUGACGCUCAGGUGCGAAAGCGUGGGGAGCAAACAGG